CUAGGGCCAAAUCUCCUCGACCCUUGCUCUCCUGUUCCUCCAGUGGAUACGUGAGACUAGGGCUAGGAAAGGGAGACAGAGGGCAGCUCUGGUAAUUUGGGACCCAACUGGGUAGGGGUGGGGCAUGUCCCUCCUCACCCAUCCCCGUUGACGUCAGUGACAGCCACUGAAUGCCCAAAAUACGACGCCAUCUGCAAGAUGAGGAGCACCAUCAUUCACGCCGCUGGACAAGCAUCCUCUUUAAGAAAUGGGCCCUCACCUCCCAUGAAAUAUUCUGAAGUCUCAGUUCCCCCUCCACCCAGCCACGCCCACUGGGACCUGGCCCCCACCUGCUCUCCGCGCAGCCGAUGCAGCCUCUGGUAGUAGGAAUCCAAAAUUUCCACCUGCACGGACAGCGCAGGCGAGAGCAUCAUUCUUGUACCCAAAGCAACCUCCCACUCCAGGACGUUCCAGUGCUGCCAGGGGGCGCAGGCCUGGAGAAAGGCCACAGGAGUGGGGACGGGCGCGAGACUUGGGCUCCUCCUGGCCCCAGGUGUCCCUGCCCCCGAUUGUUCCCUGUGCCCUGUACCGCGGGGCCCACCACAAUGACGUCGCUCCAGCUGACGACCGACGCCCCCAGUCCUUGGCGGGCCUUGAAGGUUUGUAAAGUUUGGGAGCCUACAUUUCGGGUCUCAUCACCUGGAAGGCACAAGAAGGGGUGGGGCGCUGAAGCCCGGCAGUCCACGUCCCUCUGACCCCAACCUUGCUCUCCUUGCCUGGGACUCACGGAGGUCAAAGAGCAGCGAGGGGCACUGGCCGCCCUCGGCCCUCCAGGGGCACAGGAACACGCCGCCCGUCUCCUCCUGGCUGGGGCCCAGGGUCCGCGGGGCGCCCACCACGAUGGCCACUCUGCAUAGGAAAGCUGGGUGAGCGCCGCGCAGAUUCCAGCGUAUCCCAGGCCCUGGCGCCGGCGCUGGGAGCACUGCCCGGAAGGCCAUGUGGCAUGGGGGCACUGGACCAUCUUUCCUCAAUGACACCUCACAGACCACCGUGAUGUACUUCUUCAUCUUAUGGACAGUGAAACCGACUCUCAGCGAGGGCAAUCACGUGGCUAAAGUAACCCAGUGAGUUGAGAGUAGAGCUGGGACUAUAACCAUUUGGUUUGAUUUGAACACCAGGGGUUUGAGAUCUUUGCUGAAAAAGACCUAAACUCUGUACAACACCUCCAUCCUUCCACCCGCAACAAGAACCAGCGGUUCACAUGCUCCCUGGAAUGCCUGCCUAGACUGUUACCAGAUCCCCUCUUGAGAGCUGGUUUUAAUGAGGGAAGGUAGCGGGUACCUCUAAAGUGGGGCUGGAGUGUGUGUGCUGAUAGGAGGACCCUAGCAGAUCUAGGUUUAAAUCACAAUUCUGCCAUAUGUGAAAUAGGAAUACCAAUUUCAUAACCAAUGACUGGUUUUCACAACCAGUCAAUGCUGUCAGGAGUAAAUGUAAUAAAUACGAGUAACGGUUAGCAUGGUCCCA
rnacentral:lncRNA from 10 species